AGCUUUGCGCAGUGGCAGUAUCGUAGCCAAUGAGGUUUAUCCAAGGCGCGAUUAUUGCUAAUUGAAAACUUUUCCCAAAACUCUCCAUGACGACUUGAAAUAUAGUCAGCAUUGGCAAUUUUUGACAGUCUCUACAGAGA
rnacentral:snRNA from 1 species